CGGAGGGUGCAAGCGUUAUCCGGAUUCACUGGGUUUAAAGGGUGCGUAGGUGGGUCUGUAAGUCCGUGGUGAAAUCUCCGAGCUUAACUUGGAAACUGCCAUGGAUACUAUAGAUCUUGAAUACUGUGGAGGUUAGCGGAAUAUGUCAUGUAGCGGUGAAAUGCUUAGAUAUGACAUAGAACACCAAUUGCGAAGGCAGCUGGCUACACAAAUAUUGACACUGAUGCACGAAAGCGUGGGGAUCAAACAGGAUUAGAUACCCCUGGUAGUCCACGCCCUAAACGAUGGAUACUCGACAUUUGCGAUACACUGCAAGUGUCUGAGCGAAAGCAUUAAGUAUCCCACCUGGGAAGUACGAUCGCAAGAUUG
rnacentral:rRNA from 1 species